rnacentral:misc_RNA from 1 species
CUAAAAUUCAUUCAUCUCUUUUAGUUCUUUUUUCUAUACUUUUCGAUCUCGAUGGAAUAUGUUGAUGAAUUUUUCGCGUUAGAGAAAAUCAGAACUCAUCUUCUCGGAGAAUUUUCACCGAGAACUUUGAAAUUUGGGGCGGAAUUAACGAGUAGUAAGUGUAGUGAUACUGUGACGGAGAGUUGUGAUUCUGAAUCUGCUAGUUCUGGUUCUCUUCCUUUUGACUUUUUCUUUGAUAUUGAAGCUGAUUUGUUUCAAUUUGGCGCUGGAGUUUCUAAUUCCAGCUCCGAAUCAGCUAAUUCGGUGUAUAAUCGAACAGAUUUUGUUAAAAUUGAAUCGGAG